rnacentral:rRNA from 1 species
GAUGAACGCUGGCGGCGUGCCUAAUACAUGCAAGUCGAGCGAACGGACGAGAAGCUUGCUCCUCUGAUGUUAGCGGCGGACGGGUGAGUAACACGUGGAUAACCUACCUAUAAGACUGGGAUAACUUCGGGAAACCGGAGCUAAUACCGGAUAAUAUUUUGAACCGCAUGGUUCAAAAGUGAAAGACGGUCUUGCUGUCACUUAUAGAUGGAUCCGCGCUGCAUUAGCUAGUUGGUAAGGUAACGGCUUACCAAGGCAACGAUGCAUAGCCGACCUGAGAGGGUGAUCGGCCACACUGGAACUGGGACACGGUCCAGACUCCUACGGGAGGCAGCAGUAGGGAAUCUUCCGCAAUGGGCGAAAGCCUGACGGAGCAACGCCGCGUGAGUGAUGAAGGUCUUCGGAUCGUAAAACUCUGUUAUUAGGGAAGAACAUAUGUGUAAGUAACUGUGCACAUCUUGACGGUACCUAAUCAGAAAGCCACGGCUAACUACGUG